rnacentral:misc_RNA from 1 species
AAAGUCGUAACAAGGUUUCCGUAGGUGAACCUGCGGAAGGAUCAUUAACACGUAUCCACGUAUCAAACAAUAUCAACGAACUGUCCUACCCGCUACAACCUAAACGCUAAGCUGUCAUUCUCGGAUUAUAAUGGGUCCUUGUUCUGUCUUUCGGGGCGGUUCAAUGUGGCAUAUUCGGUUUGGCUAUCAGUCCUUUGAGACUGUGGCAAGGUACCUGGAUUGUCGGGCUCAUAAUUUCAUUCUUCUAACCUCAACCAUUUUGAGGCGAAGUUUGAUCCCCAUACCAAUUUCACCCUAUUUUACCUAUUUUGACUAAUUAUUCUAUGAGAGAAAUCUCAUUUUGAAUACUAAGAUUUAUCUUAACUAAGCACAACUCUUAGCAAUGGAUAUCUUGGUUCUC